UGCCGCCUUCGCGCUGCUUCCUGCAAACGGCACUUUCCACACGCCCCACCGACAAGCAGGUUUCAGUGGAGCCAAGCAGAUUCCAUUUCUGGAGCAAUCCGAUCGGGAAGAAUCAACAUUUAAAGUUUCUAAAAGGAAAUGAAACACUGCAGGGGCUACCAGACAGAGUAUUGUGGGACAUUGCAACUGGAAUUUCCUUACAUAUUGUCAGCAAUAGGACCAAAAUCUUCUGUUGUUCUGCUCUCCUCCCCAUGAAGAUGAGUUGUGCAAGUGGACUCUCUCCCUCUCCUCUCCCCACCAGCUGAGUUUGCAGCUCAGAGUACAGGGCAGGAGGGAGAUAAAAAACCCCAAACAAAAGGAAUUUGGUAUCUCUACGCUGCUUGGACUCUGAGGGGCAAAGUGUUUGUCAGCAUAAGCAAGAGAUCCGCAGCUGCUUAGCCUGGGUUAGCCUGUUAUAGUGUCUGAAGAGUUUACACGUGAUAAUUGGUUGGUGGAGUCUAAGUAUCGAACUCACCGCCUAUUUGGGGUUUGUGCCCUGCUUCCUAGCAGUCUGCCCUGAGGUUGGCACUCGCCCUCUGCCACUGCAUGCAGUGUUACAGGGGCAUUCCCUGCAGUCCGUGGCAAAUUCCCCAUUCAGCUCGGCAAAAUGUCGGUGACUCAGGAAUAAGGAUCCGAUGAAGUGAGCUGUAGCUCACGAAAGCUUAUGCUCCAAUAAAUUGGUUAGUCUCUAAGGUGCCACAAGUACUCCUUUUCUUUUUGCAAAUACAGACGAACAUGGCUGCUACUCUGAAUUCAGGACAAAUUGCUUAAAGCAGGGCAGUUACAGCCCAAGGCUGGGGUUCCUUUGCACACCAAGCCAAACCAAACCAGCCAAACAGAGAGGACCUUGGUUUUACCCUACUGGCUAACCACAAGUCACACAAGCAAUUCCCUUAGACACUCCAGUUUCCCAGUAUCACCACCAGGGCCACUCGUUAUGGGGAUGAAUGGUUAUGAAAACCAAUACCCCAGUAAAAGAAAAAUGGUUCUCUCAAUCCCAAAGGACCAAGCCCCAGACCCAGGUCACUUAUACAAACAGAUCUUACCCACAAAUCACGCUGUUGCCAAUCCUUUAGAAUCUAAAAUCUAAAGGCUUAUUCGUAAAAGGAAAAAGAUAUAGAUGAGAGCAAGAGUUGGUUAAAUGGAAUCAAUGACAUACAGUAAUGGCAAAGUUCUUGGUUCAGGCUUUUAGCAGUGAUGGAAUAAACGGCAGGUUCAAAUCAAGUCUCUGGAGAACAUCCCCAGCUGGGAUGGGUCUUUCAGUCUUUUGUGUAGAGCUUCCGUUUGUAGCAAAGUCCCUCCAGAGGUAUGAAGCAGGACUGAAGACAAGAUGGAGGAGCUGCAGCAGCUUUUUAUAGUCUCUUGCCAUGUGGUCUCUGCUUUCUUUGUCCCAGAGACCAGCUGCCCAUCACAAGGCAUGGAAACACCUCAGAGUUCUGUCCAUAGGCAGGUCCCUGCAGACCUUGCUGAGUCCCAAGGCGCGUCUGCCUUCUCUCAGUGGGUCAGUGGUAUAGCUGAUGGUCCUUAAUGGGCCAUCCAGCAGGCUAGGCAGAGCUGACACCAACUUGUCUGGGGUGUCACCCAGAUACAUAGUAUAAGUUUGAAAUACAGACAGUAUAGAGCCAAUAUUCAUAACUUCAACUACAGAAUGAUACACACAUAUAGACACCAUAAUCAUAAUCAGCAAACCAUAACCUCUCCAUAGACCCCUUACACGACAACCUUUAUGCAAUAUGUGCUGCAAAUAUAUAACAGGGGUUGCAACAGUGAUCUAUAUGGUUACAGAUUAUGUCAAUAAUGUCACACAUGUCUUUAAAAUACACUGCUUCUCUGAGUAUUCACUGUCCAAAAAUGUGCAAAUUGAGAUCAAUAAGGGCUGAAGUAGCUGUUUCAAGUUGUAUCAAGGAUAUAACAAAGUUUAAUUAUGGAGAUGGUGGCCUUUAUUCCGUACGGUGGAAGUUUGCUUUAAAUAAUGCUGGGGACUAAUUCCAGUGAUUUUUUCCUAAGAACAACAAAAUAUUUCUUUCCAAACUCACCAUUCUGUGAAACAUCUAGAAAAAUUUCUGUGAAAAUUUUAAAUUAUUUUAUUGAUUAAAUUACAAAUUAGAAGCAUUUAAAAUUAACCAGUUUCAAUUUUUUUUACUGUCUUUAUAAUAUUUUGUGUAUCUCUGGUUUAACAUUUUUAAAACUUAGAACAUCAGACUUACUGUGUGUCUAAAUAUUGAUCAUGGCCCUAGCACAGAAUUUAAUUCUAUAUCAAUAUUUCACCAAGACCUUGAAGCUGCAAAGCAGUGAGCACUUUGACCCCAACCCAACAAAGCACGUAAGCAUGUGUUUAAGUUUGAGCAUGUGCAUAGUCCCAUUGCUUUGCUGGAUCAGGGUCAGACUGCUCAGCACCUGGCAGGAUUGAUCCCUUGAUGAUGAAUGCAUUGUACUGCAGGU